UUAAAUUGAAGAGUUUGAUCAUGGCUCAGAUUGAACGCUGGCGGCAGGCCUAACACAUGCAAGUCGAACGGUAACAGGAAGAAGCUUGCUUCUUUGCUG
rnacentral:rRNA from 4 species